GAUGAAGAACGUAGCGAAACGCGAUAGGUAAUGUGAAUUGCAGAAUUCCGUGAAUCAUCGAAUCUUUGAACGCACAUUGCGCCUUCUGGUAUUCCGGUAGGCAUGCCUGUCUGAGUGUCAGCAAAACACCCUCGGCCUGAAUAUUUUUUAUACUCAAGGCCGGUCUUGGGCAGUGGAUGCCGGUGGGGGGUUAACUCUUUCCCACCUGCGCCCUCCCUAAACUUGCUGUACGACCAUGUGCCCCUUCCAGCCAGGUCAAAUGGAGUGGUGUUACAAUCUUCCAAAAAGCCUGCUGGUAAACCGCUUCGUGGCGUUAAACUGUCAAGUCACCUUCCGCGGAGACUUUGAACUUUUGACCUCAGAUCAGACAAGGAUACCCGCUGAACUUAAGCAUAUCAAUAAGCGGAGGA
rnacentral:misc_RNA from 1 species